CUCGUGGCGGAGCGGGCUCCAGCCGCUGGGGAGGGACAUGCUGCGUUCCCCGGCCACCUCCUGCCAGGGGAAUUCGGCAGGCAAUAGAUACGCGGGAUUGACGGCGCGUUCGCUGUUCCACAGGCGCACAAAAUGCAGUGCUGGCGGAGCGGGAGAAUGAAAAGCAAAGGCGCACCCCGUAAUCGGUUCGCCCGCGCCUGGUGCGCAGAGGAGAAAGAGGCUGUGCCUGAGGCACGACACGGCGAGCCGCACCGCUUUUGCCUCCCUGCCAUUUGCUGACAGCCGCAUUCUGCAGGGACGGGAUUCAGAGCCGCCCUGACGUUACGCAGAAUAACGUCCGCGUUUCACUGCACUGCACAGCGCAGUCGGGAGUGUCCUGCAAGUUUCUAAGCCCCUUUCCUGCAAUCCAUUCAUCGCAAUACCACCCGCAGUCGAAAAGCAGCAGUGCUGAAAGGCAACCGCUGGACGCUCAAGGAGCUCCAACUGUCACCCUCCCUCUUCUACCCAGGAAUCUGUCACCUCUGAGAUCCUUACCUCUCCCAAAGUUAAAUAAAACUGGCCAAUUAGCUUCUUUUAUAUAUAUAUAUAUAUAUAUAUAUA
rnacentral:lncRNA from 1 species